CAGAGACUCUGCCCCCCGGGGUAGACCUCCCACCCUUGUGCCGCUGUAUCAUUGUUGCUUUGGCGGGCCGCGGGGCCCCGGCCCCGCCCCCGGCUGCCGCUGGGGCGCGCCCGCCAGAGGACCCCUCAAACCCUGAUUGUCAGCGUCGUCUGAGUACCAUACAAUCGUUA
rnacentral:misc_RNA from 1 species